AGGGCUUGACAUCCAUAGAAUCUUGAGGAAACUCAGGAGUGCCCUUCGGGGAGCUAUGAGAC
rnacentral:rRNA from 1 species